AUUGAACGCUGGCGGCAGGCCUAACACAUGCAAGUCGAGCGGAUGAAGGGAGCUUGCUCCUGGAUUCAGCGGCGGACGGGUGAGUAAUGCCUAGGAAUCUGCCUGGUAGUGGGGGAUAACGUCCGGAAACGGGCGCUAAUACCGCACACGUCCUGAGGGAGAAAGUGGGGGAUCUUCGGACCUCACGCUAUCAGAUGAGCCUAGGUCGGAUUAGCUAGUUGGUGGGGUAAGGCCUACCAAGGCGACGAUCCGUAACUGGUCUGAGAGGAUGAUCAGUCACACUGGAACUGAGACACGGUCCAGACUCCUACGGGAGGCAGCAGUGGGGAAUAUUGGACAAUGGGCGAAAGCCUGAUCCAGCCAUGCCGCGUGUGUGAAGAAGGUCUUCGGAUUGUAAAGCACUUUAAGUUGGGAGGAAGGGCAGUAAGUUAAUACCUUGCUGUCUUGACGUUACCAACAGAAUAAGCACCGGCUAACUUCGUG
rnacentral:rRNA from 1 species